AAUGCGCUGCGGUUAGACCGUUAGUUGACUGAACGUGAAGGAAUAGGAACGAUAUUGGGAGGGGUGGAAACCAUUUGUUUUCAAUAAUGAUGUACAUAGUGUUGGGUAUUUAUUUAUUAUUUUUUUGAAUAUGUUAUAGGUUAUUUGUUUUCAUUCGUGUUGAAGAAACAUUGAUGGAAUGGAAGAUAUCGUUUAGAGCAAAGAAUCGAAGAAUUGUUAUUAGAUAGUCCAUUUUCAACCUGUUUACCGGUAUAAUUGCUGAAAGAAUAACUGAAUAGCUGCUUGAUUAUGACAACACGCGAGCUUGUAUAAUUAUUACCUACUAUGGAUUUUGCUGUACAUAUAAUACUCCACGUCCACGUCGUCCUAAUCGUAUUGCCCACGUUAUGCUCGAGUAUACAAGCACAUACACUCUGCAGCAAAAGCACUCGAAAGAAUUUUACAUCGCCUGGCUGAGGGAUCGAGAACUCGCUUCUAAUUGAAAUGUUGGCGAAUAAACGAUGGAAAGAUGAACUUAUCAAUAUAUCAAUCAUGAUUCAACCACUUGAGAAUCAUCAUCUGAUGAGGUGAUGACUUUUCCAUUCAUAUGUCAAAUUUUGGCUGAGAAAAUGCGAUCGAAAGGAUUACAUUGUCAUGACAGUAGUUGUUGGAAUAAAAUUCACAAUACGUUGCCGAUUGGAAUGGUUAAAUUACCGAAAAACUCUUUCGAUUCGGUUAGCAUCGAUAUGCGAUUAUACACAGAUCGACGACGACGGUGAAAUGAGGAAAUAAAAUGGCGGAACGAUCAUAAGAGCUGACGUAAAGGAAAUAAGAAGUGUAAAAAAACUACGGUAAUGGUUGUGUGUGUUGUGUCGAUCGACGUCGUCGGCGAUGCCGCGGUGCUUGGAAGAGAAAAACUUCGGUAGCAAGUUGUACCCGUACCUACACAGCUCGCAGAAUGUUGGAAUGGAUAACUACGAGUACUAGCUGGUGUAUUUUCCGAGCAGCGUGAGCCGAUGCCGAAGACGAACAAGCUGCCAUGUUGGAAUCUCUGCGACUCUGUGGUUGCACAAGCAAGUUACCAUCGACAUAGAGCGAAGCCGCAGAGCAUGAAGAGUUGGUAGCUCCUCGGGAGGACUGUCAUCACAGGAGCAAAAAGCUGUAUAUGUAUUGUUUAUAUUAUUUGUAUUUCCUUUCGGUACGUUAUUUCGGGAGGAGAUGCAGAUGAAUUUGAAUAAAGAAGGGUCAUUCCAUGCCAAAUCGGCGGAUUUUUGCACGAGGGUCUUCGAUUUUUUUCAAAAUCAGAUCAUGUGUAGAGAUCAUCAAACGAUAACGAAUGACGCAAGCCGGACAUUUUUUCGAUUUUUUUUUUUUUGGCGGAGCUGUGGGGCUUCAAAGUUUUUCAAAAUGGCCGAAAAUGAAAAAUUUCAGUUGCAAAUUUGCUUCGGUUGUGCGUGGUAUACAAUUUUGAUUUUUUUUUCAAAUUGCAGUACUUUGAGAGGGUAAUU